GACGCAACGCGAAGAACCUUACCUGGGCUCGAAAUGCAGGAGACCGGGGUAGAAAUAUCCUUUUCUCGCAAGAGACUGCUGUAUAGGUGCUGCAUGGCUGUCGUCAGCUCGUGUCGUGAGGUGUUGGGUUAAGUCCCGCAACGAGCGCAACCCUCAUCCCUAGUUGCCACUGGGUAAUGCCGAGCACUCUAGUGAAACCGCCCCGGAUAACGGGGAGGAAGGUGGGGAUGACGUCAAGUCCUCAUGGCCUUUAUGUCCAGGGCUACACACGUGCUACAAUGGUCGGUACAAACCGUCGCAAAGCUGCAAAGCCCAGCUAAUCGGAAAAAACCGGCCUCAGUUCGGAUUGGAGUCUGCAACUCGACUCCAUGAAGCUGGAAUCGCUAGUAAUCGCAGAUCAGAACGCUGCGGUGAAUACGUUCCCGGGCCUUGU
rnacentral:rRNA from 1 species